UCGGUCCACCUCAAUGCCAGGGAACCACAUCUGAGAUGUGCUGAGCAUCUUCUUUUACAGAAUAGACUUCAUUUUAAGACAGUUUAAUAUCCUAUUGCUUUACGAUAACAACAUUAUCCUCUUCUUGCUCUCUUGGAACUUAAAAUUACAAU
rnacentral:snoRNA from 1 species